rnacentral:lncRNA from 1 species
UUUAAAUGUGAUGGUGCUUCUCACUAUCUAAUAUUGAAGAAAGAAAAAGACAAUUUCAUUUAAAGAGUUUCUAAGAACUUUUAUUACUGAUAUAACUCUUCAAAUGAGUAGUAAAAUCUCAGUUUAAAAGGUUCUUUAUGAUGGCCUUAUAUAGUAAUAGCCAUGUCAUAAAGGAAUUGAUGAAUUCGAGGACUCAAACUUAAAUUCAACAUUAUUAUUAAAGGGGUUAUAUGAAUCCAAACAAAUAAUUAAUUGUUUCAAGUUUUCAAACUAUAACUUACUUAUUUUGUGUGAAAUAACUAUGUUGUGACCCCAAAUAUUACCCUAAUCAAUAGAUAUUUUUCACCUCAUAUAUAUAUUAAUUAGAAAUUCAAGUGUCUCCAAUAACUCGAUGUACUUUAAUGUGAUUGUUUAAAGACAUGUCUGAAGCAUAUUGUUGGCUCAAUGAAAAAAGCUUUAAUAAAAUUGUUUUUCUAUUUUCUAUUUUUUAUUUUUUUAGGUUUUAGCCAUGCAUUAUAUUUGCAAUUUUGCAUUAUGGCCAACUUCAUAUGACACACCAUUACAUCAUAUACUGAAUGAUGAUUGUGGCGUUCCAAUGGAAAAAUAGUUUUUGUGGUAAUUGUAAUGUCUUCCAGCUCUUUUGAUACCGAUAAUGACAUCAUUGAGCAAAAUACGAAAAAUAGAUCCAAUAAUGACCAAUUUAUUGCCAAUUGCCGUCAUCAUCAACAAUAGUUACUAAUUGAAAAAUCUAUUUGAGACGAGGGCUUUUUAUUUUUUAAUGAUAUUAUAAAAUACUCAUAAUUUAUU